rnacentral:tRNA from 1 species
GACUUAAAUCCGUCGACUUUAGAAAUCCGUGAGG